AAGCAAUCGAAGUGGCAGAAGAAGAAGAAAUGACU
rnacentral:sRNA from 1 species